rnacentral:rRNA from 1 species
GAUGAACGCUAGCGGCAGGCUUAACACAUGCAAGUCGAGGGGUAUGCCGAUUUAUCGGCAGAGACCGGCGCACGGGUGCGUAACGCGUAUGCAAUCUACCUUUUACAGAGGGAUAGCCCAGAGAAAUUUGGAUUAAUACCUCAUAGUAUAGUGACUCGGCAUCGAGAUACUAUUAAAGUCACAACGGUAAAAGAUGAGCAUGCGUCCCAUUAGUUAGUUGGUAAGGUAACGGCUUACCAAGGCUACUAUGGGUAGGGGUCCUGAGAGGGAGAUCCCUCACGCUGGUACUUGGCCACGGGCCAGACUCCUACUGGAGGCAGCAGUGCGGACUAUUGGACAAUGGGCGCAAGCCUUAUCCAGCCAUGCCGCGUGCAGGAUGACGGUCCUAUGGAUUUUAAACUGCUUUUGUACGAGAAGAAACACCUCUACGUGUAGAGACUUGACGGUAUCGUAAGAAUAAGGAUCGGCUAACUCCGUGCCAGCAGCCGCAGUAAUAC